UACGUAGGUGGCAAGCGUUGUCCGGAUUUACUGGGCGUAAAGAGCGCGCAGGCGGUCGUUCAAGUCGCGUGUGAAAGCCCCCGGCUCAACUGGGGAGGGUCACGCGAUACUGAUCGACUCGAAGGCAGGAGAGGGUAGUGGAAUUCCCGGUGUAGCGGUGAAAUGCGUAGAUAUCAGGAGGAACACCGAUGGCGAAGGCAGUUCUCUGGGCCGUAACUGACGCUGAGGAGCGAAAGCGUGGGGAGCGAACAGG
rnacentral:rRNA from 1 species